UAAAUGUCUAUGAUGGCUGCUUGCCAUAUCUUCUGUGUUUACAGAGAGUGAAGUUGUAAUAUGUUGAGCUUAUGCUUUUUUUAAUGUGCAGUUUUCUGUAAAGUCACAAGUACUGGUACAUUUCCUUUGCAUGUUAGAUAUGAAUCUUCAAGACUUCUCUUCAAGACUUGUUCUUUAUUUUAAAAAUUUUCAUUAAGUAGGUGAAUUUGAGGGUAGGGGGAGAAAAGAAUAGUUGCACCAAAAAGGGAAGAGCUUCAGUAAAUAUUACAGUGAUGUGGAAUAAAAGAGGAGGAGUUUCCUAUCAAUAGAAAUGAACAGGGACAAAAUUGUGAAGGUCAGCACGGACUGGGAAUGCAGUUAGGUCAAAGGGAUUGAUACCAACACUCAUGCUGCUCAAAGGUAAACCCUUUUUUCUCUGCUGUAAAUGUCUUUAAAAUUGAGCUUCAAGUAUAUUUUCUAUAUAUAGAAUGCUUUCCUACUUCAGUUACCUUUUAGUGAAAAGUAUGACUUUGCUUUGUUUUAAUCUGAGGGGGAAACAGCUUCUUCCUUUUGAAGCACAUGCUAUUUGGAUCGCCAGAGGAAUUUUGUUUACCGUGGGGAAACCAUGAGAAACGAAGUAUCUGGAGAGCUAGAAUUGGAGGAUAGGCCUUGAGUAAUGAUUGCUACCAUAGCUGUACCAGCAGUAGUACUCAUGGUGUAACUGCCUACACCAUGCUAACCCAAGCAAGGUUAGCAAGGAGGACUCCUCUGAGGAGUCUGCUGGUAGAAAGUGGAGGAGCAAAACCAAAUAGCUGGGUUAUGCAUGGGAGACAGGAGGAAUAGCUGAUAAUACUGGAAAUGUCUGAAGGCAAAGUUCAGUGUAAAACUGCUGGAAUGCACACCUGGCUCACCUUGCACCAAGCACUGAGGCCAGUCAUGACUGGCUGUUACUGUGCUGCCUCUGGAUGUUUGCUCUGAGAGCCUCACCGAAUUAACAACUUUCUACGAGAAAGUAUUUUGGAUCCACUAGAGAUUAAAGUUACGGUGCUUGAUAUGCAUUGUAUGUUCUUUCAUCCCAUCCUCUUGUUGAGAAGAUGUAGUGGCCUUUUAUAAAUGUUUUAGGACACUUUUUGUAAGCUGGUGAAAUUCAUUCUUGUGUAAGUUUCUAGUAUGAAAUCUGAGCAGCUUUAUGUUACACACUGAUUUUUAUUUUAUUUGGUUUUACUUUUUGUUUGUUUGAUUUAAAAAUCAUAGUGGGACUGUUCGCAUCUGAUGCUUUCAGCUUCUCUAGGUGUACUGUGGACUGUGUUUAGCCUUUCUCAUUCAAGAAGUUUGAGUUUGAACAUCAGUAAAAGGAAAACUAUACACAGAGUGUAAGUGGUGUAUCUAACCAUCUCUUUAACAUGCAUUGCAAGCAUCAAGAACUGACCUCAGCUUUGUUCUGAGGAAUUGAGCAUCUGUACUGGGAGAAGGGGAAUAAGGCAGUCUACAUGAGAGCACUUGGUGGUUUUGUGUUCUGCAAAUUAGUACCUCGAUCCAAAAUGUUUGUUUCAAGGAAGGGAUGUGUUAGUAGAAGUGUAUUUUUAUUUUUAGCUUGUCUCCAUGACUAGGCUGUAUAAACAUAACGUGCUAUGGAGUCACUUAUGCUUUGCUUCUUAGGGGUCACAUGCACACCUUGCUUUUCCUGCACAAGGCAGGGCUGGAACCUGAAUUAGAGUGUUUUUCUGACCUGGCUCAUUACUAAACAUUCUGUACUUUGGCAUGGUCCUUCAAAGGUUGAAGUUGAGUGUUUUUUAUAAUGUAGGGAUGAUGCCAAUUAUGUCUAUUGGCAAGUGCCUCUGAAUUGAUGUGUAAUUUACUUGAUACUGAGAUGAACCAUACUUGGCUCUGAUUUCCUGCUUUAUGGAAUGUGUAGGGCUGCUUACUCCCAAAGUGUUGGGAUAAAAUCCAUAGUUAUGAAGACCUCACCUUUUUCAUUUUUGGAAGUGUUAUUUUAUUUCUGGCAGAAGGUGGGUUAUAGUACAGUCUGGUUAUCUUGAUUAUUGCUUGUCAUUUUGCAGAGUGUUAGAACUGGGAGCAUAGCAAUAGUAUUUGAAGUGUAUGAAAUUUAUGAUGGUAAAGUAUGCAGCCUAGGAUAAAGUCCCGUGUGCUGCCAUAUUCUCAUGUAAAGUAUCUUGUGCCUCUGGAAUUUGUGGGAGCAUGAGAGAUCCAGUAAAUGAGUAAUGUCCUUUAAGGUAGGUUUUGUUUUGGUAGAAUUUCUCAUAUUGCAGUUUAUAAAUUUAGCAUGUUAUUAGACCGGAUGCAUUCACUUCUGGGGUGUUCGUCCACAAACAGGCACAGAGCUCAGCUCAGUGUACCUACAGCUGGUUUAGGACUGUAAGCUUAAAAGCUGGAGUGUCAACAACCUGUCCUACUUUUACUUGAAGAACAUCUGGUGUGAAAAGGAUCUUUGUGGUUGUGCUGCAGUAGUGCAGUAUGGGGAGACUGUUCAGGAGCAGUAUGGUGGGUAGGUAUGCCUGUCAUCUAGAGACAGCUGCUCAUCACUAAAAAUUUGUUAGUUGCCUGUAAAAACAGCUGGUGGUUCUUGAAUGCUGUCUCUGCUGGCCCCUGUGGGAAUUGACUUGGGUGUUGUUGCUCCUGCCUCUUGUUAGCAAAACUUCUAAACAUACCACGUUUACUAAUGUGAUAAAUAUUCCACUCACCCCUCCCAUUCCUCCUGUAGAUAUUGAAUCACUGCUUUAUAGAAAAUCAUCUGAGCACUUUUCUCAAACGCUAGAUAGUUGCUUGAUUAAGAAAACAUGAAAUUGCUUUUUCAGACAACUGUGUGAACGACAGUGUUUUUGUAGAAGUAAAUGUUCCAUGAAGGAAAAAUACUUGGAAAGCAAACAGGUAAAAUAUACAGGAAGCUUGAAUGUCAGUGACUAAUGAAAUGGCAGGUUUUGCAUCUAACUCUCUGUAAGGCACUAUCUGUAUGUGAGAUCUUUAAAUGGGCCAACUACUAAAAGGUAUCUGACCUUCCUCAGAUAAAAUGUCUGCUUAAAAAUCUUGUAUAGACUGUGUUUUCUUGCAACCACAGCUAAAUUAUACUGGUAUAUAAACUGUGAGUGGGGAAAAGUAAUUUUGUGAAGUGGCAUGUUUUCCAUGCUCUUGAAUGGGUUAGUGAGUGGUACUGGAUUUUGAAUGUGGUUGUGUAGUCUAGUUUGAUCCGGACUUUUCAUAGUUUCAUGGUAUCUAAUUACAGAACAAGGGUUUUAGUCUUGCUUUGUGAUGUGGUUAGGCUGAGAGUGAGAUAGGUUUUUUGCACUGAUUAUGUUAAUAUGGUACCGUCAUCUGACUUUAAUACUUGUAAAUACGUCAGAACUGGAUGAAAUUGUUUAACGUAGCCAGUACGUUGUUUAGACUAUAUCUAAAAUAGUACAUGCUGUUUUGAGACUACUCUAUUGAAACAACCUCAUAAAUUAGUCCUCAGAAGUGCCCAUUACAAACACUGAAGUAAGAGCUCCGGUAGUGCAAGGAGAGCUGGAUCCUCCUCCCCGCUGUGUGCUCCGGGUGGGUCAGAGGAGUGAGGCGGCCGAGCCUCUCCCGAGUGGGCUGAGCAGUGGAAAAAGAGCAGCGGGAUGUUGGCUGGUGCUGGCUGGCAGGAGGACGGGCUGGCGGCUUUUUCCGCUCCAGAUGUAAAUAUUCAUCACCUCUCAGCCUGCAGCUCGGGCUGACUGCGGAGCGGCGCUGUGCGGGAACGUUCCACGCGCGGUGCCAGCGCACAGACGCUCGCUCGCUGCCGCGGGGAGCGCGGUGCCAGCGUGCCCGGAGCGGGGCCCCGCCGGCCCUCGCCAUCCCCUCCGCGGGGCCCCGGCACGGCGUUCGGGGCCGCGCUCCCGGCACCGCCGCCCUGCCGCGGUGCCGGCGGUUCCGCCACAGCCCGGUCCCGGAGCGCCGCUCCCGCUCGGACGGCGCGGCCCCGGUGCCGGUGGUGCCGGUGCUCGUGGCGCCGCGGGCCCGCCCCGCUCACCUGGCCCGGGCGGGCGGGCGCGGGGGCCGGGCCGGGCCGUGCCGAGGGGGCCGGCGCUCGCCCGGCGGGGCCAAUCGGCGCCCGGCCCUGUUGCUAUGCGCGCCCCUACUCUGCCUCCUUUGUGGAGGAUGCCGCGGGCACCCACCCACCCGCGCCGGCGCUGCGGGGCUCGCUGCGGGAGCGCCGGGCCGCGCGGAGAAGAUACUUUGGAUGAAUACUUUGAGUACGAAGCUGAGGAGUUCCUGGUCUCCUUGGCCCUGCUGAUCACUGAGGGUCGGACACCAGAGUACUCCAUCAAGGGCAGGACAGAGGGCUUUCACUGCCCUCCAGCACAGUCAAGUCAGCCACCAACAACUAAGCAUGAAUGCAGCGACAAACUGGCUCAGUGUCGUCAGGCCAGGCGAACCAGAUCUGAGGUUAUGCUUCUGUGGAAGAACAAUAUUCCAAUCAUGGUAGAAGUGAUGCUACUUCCAGACUGUUGCUAUAGUGAUGAAGGGCCCACCACAGAGGGGAAUGAUUUAAAUGAUCCUGCAAUCAAACAAGAUGCAUUGCUGUUAGAAAGGUGGAUUUUGGAGCCAGUUCCUCGACAGAGUGGAGAUCGAUUUAUUGAAGAGAAGACCCUUUUACUGGCUGUUCGCUCCUUUGUUUUCUUCUCUCAGCUGAGUGCCUGGCUGAGUGUUUCACAUGGUGCUGUUCCCCGAAACAUCCUGUACAGGGUGAGCGCUGCAGAUGUGGACUUGCAAUGGACGUUCUCCCAGACACCCACUGAGCAUGUCUUUCCUGUUCCUAAUGUUUCUCACAAUGUGGCCUUGAGGGUCAGCGUUCAGUCCUUGCCCAGGCAAUCCAACUACCCAGUUUUGACCUGUAGUAUUCACACCAACCUUAGCUUUUAUGAAAAGCAAAUGCAAGAGCGUAAGUUCCAUCAGCGCAGCGAUCCCAGUGCUGCUCAGCAAUGCAGUACUUCCAGUCCCCUGCGUUUUCGUGGGAAACAGACAUGGACAAUGACACCUGAAGGCCUACUUAAUGGAAAAAAGAUGCCUGAAUUUACUACAUCUUUUAGAAAUUUAAAACUUUAUCCAUCUACCAGACUUGGAUCUGACUUUGGGGCAUCACAGUCUAAAGUUCAGUGCUAUAAUGCCACAGCAGACAAUAAGGCACAGUCUUGUGAAACACCAGUCAGAACUUUUAAAUCCUACUCUCUGGUUGAUUCCCGUGUUUCAAAUAGUCAUUGCUCUCAUCAGCCCACAGGAGAACCCAAUCCUUUGAUAGGCUCUUUACUUCAAGAGCGACAAGAAGUCAUUGCAAGGAUCGCCCAGCACUUGAUUCACUGUGAUCCAGCUACUUCACCAGUUGUUGCUGGGCGUCCAUUCACCACACAUGAAAACAUCUCGGCUACACCAAAAGCUUUUCGGAGCACUUUUGAAGAGGAAAACUUGCCAAGGAAAAGCAAGGAAAGCUCCCCUGUUCCUGCUGCCAACUUAGACAAUGCAAUACAGGAAGAUGGUGAUGAAGGCAAAACUAGAGCAGUGCCAGAGGUCACCCUGCUGGAUGCCCGUGUUCCAGGGAACCACUGUGGCCGUCAGUUGGCAGGGGAGGGUAACCCCCUGAUUGAUUCCCUGCUCCAGGAGCGGCAGGAGGUGAUAGCAAGGAUUGCCCAGCAUUUGAUUCAUUGUGAUCCAGCUACUUCCCACGUUGCUGGACAUCCACUCAAAGUGCAUGAGGCUAGUCCAGUCACGUCAAAAAUUUUCCGAAGUACAUAUGAAGAUGAAAAUUUGCUGAAGAAAGGCAAGGAGCCGUCUUCUGUUUCUUCUGCUAAGUCAAAAUUUUCUUUGUUAGAAGACAGCAGUAAAUCAGGGACAAAGACACCUGAUACUCCUAUCAGUCCUUCUAGGUUUGAUGGGGAAUUGAAGACUUCUCUGAAAGUCCAAGCAAGAAGAAAAUUGGUUUUAGCAAAACCCAGUGAAGCUGUCCAAAAUUCAUUUCAUCAGACUUCAAAUAAAACUUCUCAUGCAUUUAGUAGCAUUCACAUAUCAUCAUCGUGUAUUAAAGAAAACAAAUCUGAAAUUCCAGAUAAAUUGGAAAUACAUUCUGGUUAUGCACAGAAAGACCAGAUAACCAAUAGAAUUAAACAGGGUUCAAAUUCCAGCAGCAUUGAUGAACAGAUUUGCACAAAUAAACUUAAAGAAAGAACAGUUGUUAGUGAGAACAAUGGCACAGACAGUUUUAAUAAUUUACAGAUAGAAAAAUGCAGAAUACUUGAAGGUACAAAAAAAGCAACUGUGAUACCAGUAGCUGACUCUUUGCACAAAAAUGAGCUCAAGUGUUUAGACAGAGACUCCAAAAAACCAAUUAUUUAUGAGCAAAAUACACAACUUAUUAGUAUUGAAAAUUAUUUAAAUAAAGACCAUGACAGUUUCAAAACCAAAACCAAACAAGAUAAAACAAAAACUGCACAUGAUGAGAAUGAAGACCCAACAGGCCUCGAUUUUCAAAGCACUUCUCAGAAGAAACCUGCAGAAGACAAUGUGGUUAAGUGUGAGCGGCAGAAGAACCCAGAUGUACAGAAAGCACCGCCUCUAAAACACACAACUACGUGGCGGAAACACAAUUUUCGAUCCCUGGAUGGAACUUCAACCAAGGCUUUUCAUCCCAGAACUGGACUGCCUCUGCUUUCGAGUCCUGUUCCUCAAAGGAAAACACAGUCUGGGUGCUUUGAUCUGGAUUCAUCAUUGUUGAAAUGUCUGUCUGCAAGAAGCCCACAACAAUGUAUAAACAAAGACGAUGAUCCAGACAGCCAUGGGAAACCAUUUCUAAGUUCUAGUGCUCCCCCAGUAACAAGUCUGAGCCUUCUGGGAAACUUUGAGGAAUCUGUCCUGAAUUUCCGCUUGGACCCGCUCGGUGUCGUGGAGGGUUUCACAGCAGAGGUGGGAGCAAGUGGAGUCUUUUGUCCCACGCACAUGACUCUGCCAGUUGAAGUGUCAUUCUACAGCGUUUCAGAUGACAAUGCUCCCUCUCCUUACAUGGUAAAUGUGUGGUUGGAUUUAUUUUAAAUAAGUUCUGAUAUGUGGAGGUGAAGAGCAAGAGCUUGGGUGUAAUUACUUUAGAGUCCCUUGGUAAAAGGGGUUAUCGGGUACCGCCUUCAGGAACAAUACAAGUGACCUUAUUUAACCCUAACAAAACUGUGGUGAAGAUGUUUGUGGUGAUCUAUGACUUGAGAGAAAUGCCAGCUAAUCAUCAAACAUUCCUACGGCAAAGAACUUUUUCUGUUCCUGUGAGACGAGAAAUGAAGCGAACUGUCAAUAAAGAAAACAGUCACCAGACUGAAGAAAGGCUACUACGCUACCUCAUACAUCUGAGGUUCCAGAGUUCUAAAUCUGGAAAGAUCUACCUCCACAGAGAUGUAAGGCUCCUAUUCUCUCGGAAAUCCAUGGAAGUUGAUAGCGGCGCUGCAUAUGAACUCAAAUCUUACACUGAAUCUCCAACAAAUCCUCAGUUUUCACCAAGAUGCUAGCAAACAAUGGCAAACUCAAGUAUUCAUUUUAUUGUUGAGUACACCUUGCAAGCAAAGAUUGGUAUAGACAACAGUAUAAAGUAAAGUCUGUAAAGGAAUAAAAAUAGCGCUCAAGAGAAAGAAGGUUCUGUGUGAUCCUGGACCAGUUUUUAAAAGGCUUCUGGAAUGAGCUUUGUGUAUUCCAAGUAGACUGGAAACAUACUUAAAUCUAAUCUUUUUGUACUGUUUAAAACCACUUCAUUGGAUGUGUUGCAAUAGCAAAUUCCCAAGUUAGUUUAGUGUUUACACUUUUUAUUUUAUUUUUCAGUUAUUUAAUAUUUAAUGUUUCAUUUAAUACUCAAGUGAUGUUUGUCUUUAGUGUUCUAAUGUAGCAUAAAUCCUAUGUAAAAUCAUACUAUGUAUUUUUGGCAUUAAUAUUGAAAUCUGAAAUAUAUACAGAUGUCUUUAAUCUGUGUGCUGUUUUAAGUGAUAUUCAUUUAAGUUAUUGAAAAUGGGGACAACAGGUGAAUUUCCAUAACAUUUCAUACUAUGCAAGCAUUUAGCUCUUUUUUCUCUUGAAUGGUACCGUUUUCCAUUUUUUCUUGCAUCCAGAUUUAAUAACACUUGCAACCACACUGCAGAUUGUUUAUUUACUUACUCAUUCAUUCAGAUCAUUAAUUCAAUUCACAUUUUGCUCCCUCAAUUUCUUUUCUUUCCUUAAGGGCCAUUUGAAUUUUGCUUUCUGUUAUUAGUUUUCCUCGCAUAAAAUUGCACCCUCCCCCAUUUUAUUUCUCAAAUUGUGUUAAAGGAUGUACUGUGCAAACAAAUUAGUAUUUAUAUCUCAAAUAUAUGCAAAAGCUAUAAAACUUGUACUUUUGGUUUUAUUUUUAGAUGAGAGGAUCUUCAUGUAAUCCUAAAUAUUUUUCAUAGGUCAAUUCCAUGUAGGCCACUAGGUGGCCAUAGGAGGUUUUACUAGCAAUGCUACACUGGGCAUAUGACUAUUUUCCAAUACGUGUGUGUAUUCCUACAACAAAACAGUCAGAUGAACAGUUUAUGCUAAGUGUUAAACUGUGUAACUGAGAGAAAUAAAGCUAGAAGCAUUUGAUUAUAUUUGAGCUAUAUAUUUAAUAAUGGAAAUGAAGCGUUAUGACAUUUGAUGAA